AUGUUUGUGAUGACAAUUGAUUCUCUAGAACAUGUGAAAAAUUUCUUCAUCGUCACAGCCGUCCAUCCUCCAACGAACGGGCGAUAUCUUCGCCUAAGCGAACCGGAGUUCCAAAGGAUUUCGCGAUCCCCACCCAUCUCCCCCUCUCCCAUGGCAGAGCCGCCGCCGCCCCCGUCGCAGUCGCCGGCGCAGACGCCGCCGCCCACGCAGCAGCAGACGCCCGCGGCAACCGCGCGGGAUGAAAUGAUGGCGUGCGUGGCUGCGCUGGAGGCAGCGCUGCUGCCGUGCCUCCCCGCGCGCGAGCUGCAGGCCGUCGACCGCUCCCUCCAGUCCUCCCACCAGAUUGAUGUGGAGAGGCACGCGAGGGAUUUCAUGGAGGCCGCCAAGAAGCUUCAGUCUUACUUCAUCACCAUGCAGCGCGAGGACCAACCAACAGACGAAGAACUGCUUCGUAAGGAGAUUACUACAAUGGAGGAAGAACUGAAGACCAAGUCUGAGCUCAUUGCCAAGCACAAGAGUCUCAUUGAAGGGUGGCAGAAAGAACUAAAGGUCCAGCUGGGCAAGCACAACACCGAGCUCGAAAGAGUUUGA
rnacentral:rRNA from 1 species